UGGCCUGUGUCUCCAUCUAGGAUAGUGUGGUAAUGAGGAAGAAGACUUAUAAAUACUAUUGAAGGAAUGCAAAGAGAGAGACUCAACAAUAUUCAGCUUCUGAUGUGCUAGGAUGAUGCAAAAUUGAGUAAGUUUGCAAACCAGGUUGCAAAGAACAAAUUGUGCUAAGAACAAAUUUACUAAAUUCUGUUAGAAGCACCCACAUACACAUCUCACUUGUGACCUAUCAGCCUUGGGGAAUAGUAAAUCCUAAAAAUUUCCCAUAGUGCAGAGAAGGAUUUAUUUCUGCCUUUAGUAGCUAUUCUUUGAGGAUUGAUUUCCGAUAUAAAGAACAGAGAAGUCAGAAGAAGUAUAAAAAGAUUUGGCUCCCUUUCCAUUCCAGGGAUAGAAAGAACACUCUAGGAAUAGAAGAGAGCCUGGCAUUCAAUGUGGGGACAUUAAAUUUGGGGUACCUGAGGGGAGCAUUUGAAAGUAAGAGCAGUGUCAAGGACAGGCACUCCCAUCUGGAACCUGAUUUAAGAUCCCAGGUUUCUGAGGUGCAGGAGUCUCCAGGACAAGAUUAGGCAGCCCAGCCUAAAUAAUAUAAUGGAGCAGCAGUUUAGUCAGAUAGAAAGCAGACAUAUAGGGCAUUUCUAAGCCUUGGGAACCCAGAAGACUUGUGGUAAGGAAAACCAGCCCUACACUGAGGAUGGAGUGCAGGAGAGGAUUGUCCAGCCAGAGACUUGGAUGAAGAUUCUGGAUAUACUCAAAGAUGGGUGUACAGCUGAGCUCAGGAAAAUGUGGCUAAUGAUUCAUGCAGACAUGGCUCAAACCAAAAGAGUAGAUCAUCUGUUUUCCAGCUACAGACCGCAGACUGCAGUGCAUAUGUGUAUAUAAAAUCUCCACAUGUCUAGAUAAAAACUGAAAACAGGUUUAGUCCAGGGAGGCAGCUGACCCCCACUUUCUGACUACCAAUACCUGUCUAUCUUUUUGUGCAUCUAUCUAUCCAUCAAUUUAUUUUAAGGAAUUUGGCUAACGGCUGGGAAGAAUGGCAAGUUUGAAGUCUGCAGAGUAGGCCAGCGGUCUGGGAACUGGAGAAGAGUUGCCAUUUGAAUCCAAAGUUGGUUUGCUUCUUUCAGGAAGGUCAAUCUUUUUCUAUUAAGACCUCCAGCUGACUGGAUGAGUCCAUCCACACUCUGGAGGGGACUCUACUCAAAAAUCUACUGAUUGAAGUGUUAAUUUCAUCUAAAAAUGCCUUUACAGAACAAUUUGAAACCAAUAUCAGGGCCCCAUGGAACAGCCAACUUGACACACACAGUGUCAUCACAGAACGCCAGACAACAGGAGUGAGGUAGGAUAGAAUAAAUAAGAAGUAGAAAGGGGACAUAAAGAAAUGACAAGGAAAUGAGAUUUUAAUUCAAAACUUCUACAUUCUUUUCUAGUUCUUUGCCUCCCUAAUCCAGUCUCUCUCUUCCAGCCCUGUUACUCCCAAAUUCCUGUAAAUUUACCCAUGCACUGUUAAUUAAAUCCCCCAAAAGUUGAUUAAGAGAGCUAUAAUAUUUUUGAGAAGCCUAGAAUUUAGGGAACUUUCCAGUGCCAUCUAUUGAUCAGAUCAUGAAGACCGCUCUAUUCUGAGAAUUCUGAGACUGACCAGCCCCCAUCAACCAUCUUGAGAUCACUAACUGAUAUAAUUCAUAUAUAUAUAUAUAUAUUUUUUUUCUAUACCCACCUUCACCUAGUUCUCUUUAAAAGAACUAAAAAUACUCAAAAUGUACCUCUAAUCUCGAGAUGGCCCACAUUUCCCCUUGAGUGUAUAUCUUCUUUCCUAAAUAAACUCCCCUGUGCCUCUGACUGGCAUGUACUGAAAUUUCUUUUCCAUGAUGCGUGCCAAGGACCUUAUUGGUCCUGAGUUAAAUUCCUUCUUGGCGGAUGAGAGAGGCCUAGAAGCCAGUGAGUAAGUACAUAGAGAGACAGAGACAGAGAUCCAGUCCUAUCUCCCCCACCCCUCUGACUGCCACCCAGAUGCCACCUUGGGAAGGUUAUCUGAGGGACUGACCUUUUUCUCCAAAUACGGGUGACUACCUAAACGAACCAUUCAAAUCACAAAACUGAUCUAUGCAAUGCAUUAAUGGUUAACCGACGAGUAGAGAGAUUCUUUUUGAAAGGCAGAUUAUAGACAAAAUAAAGAAUUUAUAUUUUCUCUGCAUAUCUGAAUUUGCAGUGUGAGUGAACUUAGUGACACUUCAGUUCAAGUUAAACCAACAGUUUAAAUUUCUGUCUCCUUUUCGGUUUCCCUAGAAAAUCAUCAGAUGUUGAUAUUCCGCAGCAUGUAACAUGGGAUGUAUUACUUAUCUUGGUUUUGGUUGAAGACUAUCAGCACAGAGCUCCUCUGCAGCCACUGGGAGCCAUCUCCACCACAUCUACCUUCCUAUUUCAGAAGGAAUCUAACUUAAUUUAAAAAGACUGUGUUGGUAGGUUUAGUUAUAUUUUUUAAAAUGCCCCCCAAUGGUUAUGAAGGAGGGAACAAGCACAGGUGAUUUUUGAGGGCAGUGAAACUAUUUUAUAUGUUACUAGAGUGGUGGAUACAUAUUAUAAAUUUGUCAAAUUUUAUGGUAUACAAAUGCCACAUUUUUUUAUCCAUUCAUCCACUGAAGGGCAUCUAGAUUGGCUCCACAGUUUAGCUACUGUGAAUUGUGCUGCUAUAAACAUUGAUGUGGCUGUGUCCCUGUAGUAUGCUGUUUUUAGGUCCUUUGGGUAUAGUCUGAGAAGAGGAAUAGCUGGGUCAAAUGGUGGUUCCAUUCCCAGAUUUCCAAGGGAUCUCCAUACUGCUUUCCAAAUUGGCUGCACCAAUUUGCAGUCCCACCAGCAUUACUUAGCACUAAAAAAGGACAAGAUCAUGGCAUUUGCAGGUAAAUGGAUGACGUUAGAGAAGAUUAUGCUAAGUAAAGUUAGCCAAUCCCCCCAAAAUCAAAUGCGGAAUGUUUUCUCUGAUAUAAGGAGGGGGUGACUCAAAGUGGAGUUGGGAGGGAGAGCACGGGAGGAAGAUUAUCUCUAGAUAGGGAAGAGGGUUGGGAGAGAAAGUGAGGGAGAAGGGGAAGAGCAAGGAUGGUGGAAGGAGACGGUCAUCAUUAUACAAAAUACAUGUAUGAAGAUUUGAAUUUGGUGUCAACAUACCUUAUAUACAAACAGAGAUAUGAUAAAUUAUGGUAUAAAUGUGUAUUAAGAAUUGUAAUGCAAAAAAAGAGUACAUGUAUAAUGGCAUAACUUGGCGUGAACAUACUUUAUAUACAGAGUUAUGAAAAAUUGUGCUGUAAAUGGGUAAUAAUGAGUGUAAUGCAUUCCACUAUUGUCAUGUAUGUAAAAAAUGAAUUUAAAAAACUUAUGGUAUUAUAGAACACAAAGAAGAAUACGCAUGUAAACUAUAGACUUUGGCUGACAAUGCUGUGGAUUUGUCACGUGGCACGUACGUUGACAUGGGGGAGACUGUGUUGGGUGUGGAGGGGGUACAUGGGAACUUUGUGCUUGAUGCUAAACUUUGCUGUUAACCUACAAUUGCUCUAAAUAAUUAAGUUCAUUUAUUCAACUCAAUUGAAAAAGAAAUAAAACAUCUACCCUCUUGUU
rnacentral:lncRNA from 1 species